CCUACGGGAGGCUGCAGUGGGGAAUAUUGGACAAUGGGGGCAACCCUGAUCCAGCCAUGCCGCGUGUGUGAAGAAGGCCCUCGGGUUGUAAAGCACUUUCAGUGAGGAAGAACGCCUGGUGGUUAAUACCCAUCAGGAAAGACAUCACUCACAGAAGAAGCACCGGCUAACUCCGUGCCAGCAGCCGCGGUAAUACGGAGGGUGCGAGCGUUAAUCGGAAUUACUGGGCGUAAAGUGCGCGUAGGUGGCUUGAUAAGCCGGUUGUGAAAGCCCCGGGCUCAACCUGGGAACGGCAUCCGGAACUGUCAAGCUAGAGUGCAGGAGAGGAAGGUAGAAUUCCCGGUGUAGCGGUGAAAUGCGUAGAGAUCGGGAGGAAUACCAGUGGCGAAGGCGGCCUUCUGGACUGACACUGACACUGAGGUGCGAAAGCGUGGGUAGCAAACAGGAUUAGAUACCCCGGUAGUC
rnacentral:rRNA from 1 species